rnacentral:rRNA from 1 species
GCUUAUCACCAUUCCAGAUUGAAUAUACCCGAUCUCGUCUGAUCUCGGAAGUCAAGCUAUCUCGGGCUUGGUUAGGUACUUGGAUGGGUGACCGCCUUGGGAAUACCAAGUGUGAUAAGCA